AAGAAAACUACGAUUUGGGGAUAUUUAACUUUUUAUAUUAAAGUCCCUGACAAAAAUCGCAUGUUUCAUAGAUGGCGCUUACUACUUGGAAAACAGUGUUAAGUCUAGAGCUAAUAUUUUAUUAGAUCAAAGAAUUUUCUCGUAUUGGCGACGUAUCCUUCAAGUGUAUGCCCUAUCAACUCUCGAUGUAGGUUAUGCUCACCACGGUUGAACGGUAAUUAGGAUUCGAUUCCGGCUAGAGAAACGCAGAGAAAACGGCUACCACACCCAAGCAAGGAGCAAGUGCGCAAAUUGCCCACUUUCGGCACGUGGAGGUAGUGA
rnacentral:ncRNA from 1 species